GAUGAACGCUGGCGGCGUGCUUAACACAUGCAAGUCGAACGGGAAACCUUUUAUUGAAGCUUCGGCAGAUUUAGCUGGUUUCUAGUGGCGGACGGGUGAGUAACGCGUGGGUAACCUGCCUUAUACAGGGGGAUAACAGUCAGAAAUGACUGCUAAUACCGCAUAAGCGCACAGAGCUGCAUGGCUCGGUGUGAAAAACUCCGGUGGUAUAAGAUGGACCCGCGUUGGAUUAGCUGGUUGGUGAGGUAACGGCCCACCAAGGCGACGAUCCAUAGCCGGCCUGAGAGGGUGAACGGCCACAUUGGGACUGAGACACGGCCCAGACUCCUACGGGAGGCAGCAGUGGGGAAUAUUGCACAAUGGGGGAAACCCUGAUGCAGCGACGCCGCGUGAAGGAAGAAGUAUCUCGGUAUGUAAACUUCUAUCAGCAGGGAAGAAAAUGACGGUACCUGACUAAGAAGCCCCGG
rnacentral:rRNA from 1 species